AGCUUUUCGAAUCCGUACUGAGAUUUCGUCAGACACCAACUCAUUAGGGCUGAUCAAACUUCCAAGAUAAGUGAAGUU
rnacentral:pre_miRNA from 1 species